AGAGUUUGAUCCUGGCUCAGAUUGAACGCUGGCGGAAUGCUUUACACAUGCAAGUCGAACGGCAGCACGGGUGCUUGCACCUGGUGGCGAGUGGCGAACGGGUGAGUAAUGCGUCGGAACGUACCGAGUAAUGGGGGAUAACGCAGCGAAAGUUGUGCUAAUACCGCAUACGCCCUGAGGGGGAAAGUGGGGGAUCGUAAGACCUCACGUUAUUCGAGCGGCCGACGUCUGAUUAGCUAGUUGGUGAGGUAAUGGCUCACCAAGGCGACGAUCAGUAGCGGGUCUGAGAGGAUGAUCCGCCACACUGGGACUGAGACACGGCCCAGACUCCUACGGGAGGCAGCAGUGGGGAAUUUUGGACAAUGGGGGCAACCCUGAUCCAGCCAUUCCGCGUGAGUGAAGAAGGCCUUCGGGUUGUAAAGCUCUUUCAGCAGGAACGAAACGGUACGCUCUAACAUAGUGUGCUAAUGACGGUACCUGCAGAAGAAGCACCGGCUAACUACGUGCCAGCAGCCGCGGUAAUACGUAGGGUGCGAGCGUUAAUCGGAAUUACUAGGCGUAAAGCGUGCGCAGGCGGAUUGUUAAGCAAGAUGUGAAAUCCCCGGGCUUAACCUGGGAAUGGCAUUUUGAACUGGCAGUCUAGAGUGUGUCAGAGGGGGGUGGAAUUCCACGUGUAGCAGUGAAAUGCGUAGAGAUGUGGAGGAACACCGAUGGCGAAGGCAGCCCCCUGGGAUAACACUGACGCUCAUGUACGAAAGCGUGGGUAGCAA
rnacentral:rRNA from 1 species